rnacentral:rRNA from 1 species
UACGGGGGGGAGCAAGCGUUGUUCGGAUUUACUGGCGUAAAGAGCUCGUAGGCGGUUCGGUAAGUCGGGUGUGAAACCUCCAGGCUCAACCUGGAGACGCCACCUGAUACUGCUGUGACUCGAGUCCGGUAGGGGAGCGUGGAAUUCCUGGUGUAGCGGUGAAAUGCGCAGAUAUCAGGAGGAACACCAGCGGCGAAGGCGGCGCUCUGGGCCGGAACUGACGCUGAGGAGCGAAAGCGUGGGUAGCAAACAGG